UACGAAGGGUGCUAGCGUUGUUCGGAAUUACUGGGCGUAAAGAGCGCGUAGGCGGUGAUGCAAGUCAGGGGUGAAAUCCCACAGCUUAACUGUGGAACUGCCUUUGAAACUGUAUCGCUGGAGUGUGUGAGGGGAUAGCGGAAUUCCUAAUGUAGAGGUGAAAUUCGUAGAUAUUAGGAGGAACACCGGUGGCGAAGGCGGCUAUCUGGCGCACAACUGACGCUGAGGCGCGAAAGCGUGGGGAUCAAACAGG
rnacentral:rRNA from 1 species